CACGUAGGGGGCAAGCGUUGUCCGGAUUUAUUGGGCGUAAAGAGCUCGUAGGCGGCUCAGUAAGUCAGGUGUGAAACCUCCAGGCUCAACCUGGAGACGCCACCUGAUACUGCUGUGGCUAGAGUCCGGUAGGGGAGCGUGGAAUUCCUGGUGUAGCGGUGAAAUGCGUAGAUAUCGAGAGGAACACCUGCGGCGAAGGCGGGUUGCUGGGCUGACACUGACGCUGAUGUGCGAAAGCUAGGGGAGCGAACGGG
rnacentral:rRNA from 1 species